UAGUACUGGGAUGGGUGACCUCCCGGGAAGUCCUGGUGCUGCACCCUC
rnacentral:rRNA from 1 species